GGAGCAGUUGGCGUAGUGCGCAAAGCCUCGGCUUGCUAAGCCGGCGGUCCCGGGUUCGAUUCCCGUUGGUUCCC
rnacentral:tRNA from 1 species